rnacentral:rRNA from 1 species
UACGGGGGGGGCAAGCGUUGUUCGGAAUUACUGGGCGUAAAGGGCUCGUAGGCGGCCAACUAAGUCAGACGUGAAAUCCCUCGGCUUAACCGGGGAACUGCGUCUGAUACUGGAUGGCUUGAGUUUGGGAGAGGGAUGCGGAAUCCCAGGUGUAGCGGUGAAAUGCGUAGAUAUCUGGAGGAAUACCGGUGGCGAAGGCGGCAUCCUGGACCAUUACUGACGCUGAGGCGCGAAAGCUAGGGGAGCAAACGGG